ensembl:lncRNA
AAAGAGAAUGGGAAUUUUGAGUCAUGGUAGCAUUUCCAAAUCACAGCAUCCAGAAGUCUUGUGUAGAUGAGAGAAGCCAGUCACCAGGUAUCACUAGCAGGCAUCUUUCUGAAGUGGGUCUUUUGCCCACAACCUGCAGAUCCAUGAUCUUUGCACUUGAACGCACCUAGGAGUGAGUCACCGUGGAUGCCGACUCUGACUCGAUACCACUGACAUGAAAGAUACUGAACCAAUUCCCUGGAAAAGCAGACAGUCACAUCCCUCCGCGCGCGUGCCGGUUUCCGGAGAGGAACUGAUGCGGCCGCAGCUGCUCUCGGCCUCUUUGCAGAUGUCCUCGUCCCCACGCCGUGCUAAGGUCGUCUUAAAAAAUGGCUGAGGGCCGACAGCAAUGAAGAAGCUGAGGCCCAACGUGUAGUAGACGAUUUGGCCAAGGUCACCCAGCGGGGAAGUAGCUCUCUUGAGGGGUCCGUGCUGCGGUCAAGGUCUGGCAGAAGGCAAUCUUGGAAAGCAGUGUUAGCGAGAUGGCCGGGAGCACUGUCACCCCGACCCAAAGCGACUUGAUCGUUUCCACUGUAUCAUCAUUUCAGAAAUCUUAGCAGCUUCGGAAUUCACAUUAUGGCCUAACUCCGUUUUAACCUCCACCACUCUGACUGGUUUUCUACAGAAGAGGAAACAGAACUCCGACCUGGCUCACUCUCUCCACGGUCACUCAGCAAGUAAGAAGCAGAAACAUACUGUAAACCAAGUUACUUGGCCUCCAACACCUGUGCUCCUUUUGAGGCCAUACAUCCUCCUAGUGGUGUUUUUAGAUAGAGGACCAGGCAGUAUUUGUCUCUAUAGGAAUAGUCAUGAAAUUCUGACCUUUACUCUGAAAGACCAUCAUUUACUGUUUCGAAGGAAUACCAGAAGUUAAAGUGGCAAUUGCUCAAUAUUCAGCGUGGGGAGCAAGGAGGGAGGGAGCAACGAAGGAAGGAUAAUGAAUGCUUGAAUUUAUAAUAUAAUGAGUUUCCUGCAAUUAUCAGAAAUGUCCACUAGAUGUCACUAUUUCACACUACUUCUGCAAAGCCAUCCCUGUAAAGAAAUUUUGACCUUUGGACAGAGAUGAUUUUAUCUCUUAUAAUGGAAAAAAGCUCAGUCAUUUCUAAUGUCUUUGGAUUGCUUCCUUGUUUCUCUUAAAUUUGUCUCAAGAGAGAAUGCAAAAACAUAGACUUUAAUUAAGGCCUGAGACAAUAUCCUGAUAGUGGGAGAUAUUAACCAAGACAUUACCCACUCAAGGGGUUUCCAGGCUGUUCCAGGGCUAGAGACAUUGCAGGAAGCCCUCAUUUUGCUGGGUUGUAGAGCUCCCAUCAGCACUUUGUGGUAACUCUACCAUGCUCACUGCUUCAGACUCAGAGAACCAGUAAUUGAGCAACAUCCAAAAGACAGCACAUUGGGGUUUUAAAUUGUGCUUUUUUCUUGAAAUAGUUCUCACACUUUGUUUUACAAGACUGAGGCUCAAAGGACUAUAGUGAGUUUAUGUGUCAUAUACACAUUUAAUAGAUAUGCAUACAUCACACUCAUAAUUCAAAUGAGGACUGUCCUGUGCUUAUGGAGGCUUUUUUCCCAAGUAUAAUUGGAGUCAAAUUUACAGAUCAUCAUUUCAGGUUUUCAUAAGUUUUAAAGCAGACUGCCAUUGCAUUAACCAGGCUCACAAUUGCAACCUCAGCUGUAUUUAGCACAGAGAAACGUUUUUUUUUGCUUUUUAGGGCUGCACUCCUGGCAUAUGGAGAUUCCCAGGCUAGGGAUCCAAUCAGAGCUACAGCUAGUGGCCUACGCCACAGCCACAGCAAGGCCAGAUCCGAGCUGCAUCUGCGACCUACACCACAGCUCACAGCAACACCAGAUCCUUUACCCACUGAGUGAAGCCAGGGAUCGAACCCUCAACCUCAUGGUUCCUAGUUGGAUUUGUUUCCGCUGUGCAACAACAGGAACUCCUUAACUAUUUUUUCAGUUUAAACAUAUUAUUCAUGAGGUCUGUUGAUGGAAAAUGUGGGGACUGCUGAUUUUUAAGGUCCCAGCAAGUUUGGAAGUUUAUGUACUUUAUUAGCGUUCUCUACUGAGAGUCUUUCUUCUAAUAUUUUUUUAAAAAACUGAAAUUGAGCCAAUCAUUAAUGGCAGGUCAAGUCUGGCUACCCUAAGAAGACACUGAACUCAUUCUGUUAUAAAAAGCGAACGCUUUCUGCUUGGUCAUUUUUGGAAGGUGGUGCCACUUUUUUAGCGGUUUGGCUUGAAAGGCCCAUAUUUCAUCCACAAACACAUCUUACUUGGGGCUCAAUGCAGUCACUGAGCAGGCAGUGAGUUAAAAGGCUCAGAGAAGCAGGUCUCGGCCUCCAUAGGCUGAUGGAUUGUGAGAUAAGUCAAAGUUAUUUCUUACUAAUAAUAAAGAGACAAAUGCAGCAAUUUUCUUUUUAAAAAAAUUAUGAGCCCCGGUUCCAGCUAAACCCCCAUUGUGGCCUCACAAGUUUUCCUUCCUUGAUGUGCUCACUGAAGCAGAAUAGGAAGGGAUGGAGGAUUUAAGGGCUAUAGGACAGGUUCACAAAGUUCCAGCCUCCAUAGGAAGCACGAGGCUUUUGUACACAUGCAUACCUAUAAGAAUAAGAAAAACGGUUUUGACUACAAAAGAGAAACGAGCAAUAAAAUAUCAACAG